GGGCGAUUAGCUCAGUUGGGAGAGCACCUGCCUUACAAGCAGGGGGUCACUGGUUCGAACCCAGUAUCGCCCA
rnacentral:tRNA from 1 species